AAGUCGUAACAAGGUAACCGUAGGUGAACCUGCGGUUGGAUCAUUAACAAAAACAGCAUGGGCUGCUUAAAAUUGCCCUACGCAUAAGAUACUCUAUGAGUAGCAGAGUGCUUUCUGAAUACUGGGUUCCCUCCCAAAGGGAACCCAAUUGCAGGAUUGUACUCGGCUAUUGAUAAAUCUUAUGCGUAUCCUUCGGGAAACAUUGUGUGCACUGUUUUAGUCUCUGGCGGCGGGGCAAGUAUGGGCAUACACUCCAGUAUGCACUUUCUAUGCUUGCCUGUCAGCCUGGUGUAAAAAGCCAGGGCCGUGGACAAACCGCCAAAAUAUUAAACAACUUGUAUUUUUCAACAUUGAGUCUGACAUUAAUUUAUUUUAAAUUAUACAAACAACUUUUGGCAACGGAUCUCUUGGCUCUC
rnacentral:misc_RNA from 1 species